rnacentral:rRNA from 1 species
UACGAAGGGGGCUAGCGUUGUUCGGAAUUACUGGGCGUAAAGCGCGUGUAGGCGGCCCGGUAAGUCCGCUGUGAAAGUCGGGGGCUCAACCCUCGGAUGCCGGUGGAUACUGUCGGGCUAGAGUACGGAAGAGGCGAGUGGAAUUCCUGGUGUAGCGGUGAAAUGCGCAGAUAUCAGGAGGAACCCCAAUUGCGAAGGCAGCUCGCUGGGACGUUACUGACGCUGAGACGCGAAAUCGUGGGGAGCAAACAGG